AACGAACGCUGGCGGCGCGCCUAACACAUGCAAGUCGAACGAGAAGGCGUAGCAAUACGCUUGUAGAGUGGCGAACGGGUGAGUAAUACGUGGGUGACCUACCCUCGAGUGGGGAAGUAACCCGCCGAAAGGCGGGCUAAUGCCGCGUACGCUUCCGUCCUCACGGGGACGGAAGGAAAGCUGUACCGUGGGUACGGCGCUCAAGGAUGGGCUCACGUCCUAUCAGCUUGUUGGUAGGGUAACCGGCCACCAAGGCUACGACGGGUAGCUGGUCUGAGAGGACGAUCAGCCACACUGGCACUGCGACACGGGCCAGACUCCUACGGGAGGCAGCAGUGAGGAAUAUUGCGCAAUGGGCGAAAGCCUGACGCAGCGACGCCGCGU
rnacentral:rRNA from 1 species